rnacentral:rRNA from 1 species
UUGCCUACGGGAGGCUGCAGUGGGGAAUAUUGGACAAUGGGCGCAAGCCUGAUCCAGCAAUGCCGCGUGAGUGAUGAAGGCCUUAGGGUUGUAAAGCUCUUUUACCCGGGAUGAUAAUGACAGUACCGGGAGAAUAAGCUCCGGCUAACUCCGUGCCAGCAGCCGCGGUAAUACGGAGGGAGCUAGCGUUGUUCGGAAUUACUGGGCGUAAAGCGCGCGUAGGCGGCUAUUCAAGUCAGGGGUGAAAGCCCGGGGCUCAACCCCGGAACUGCCUUUGAAACUAGGUAGCUAGAAUCUUGGAGAGGCGAGUGGAAUUCCGAGUGUAGAGGUGAAAUUCGUAGAUAUUCGGAAGAACACCAGUGGCGAAGGCGACUCGCUGGACAAGUAUUGACGCUGAGGUGCGAAAGCGUGGGGAGCAAACAGGAUUAGAUACCCCAGUAGUCGUG